UUUGAGAGUAGAGGACACAAAGGGUGUUUUUCGGACCCCAAUGUUCAUGAUAUUAUGGCAUUGAGAGUGUUACAGAUUAUUUCUGGUCCAAUUUUUUUUUAAGUCGGUGCAUGAAAUUUUUAUUAGAUUCUACAGUAGAUGCGAAAUGUGGAUACCAAAGGUGGAUACAGCCUUAGUAUAUCAGCUAUUUUGUCAUCAUAGAUAGUGUGCCAUUGCAUACACAGUGUGCUUGUAAACUUUAAGCGAUAAGAUUCAAUUACAGUAGCUCAGUAUACAAUUCAAUGAGUAAUUGGCGAUUUUUGUGAAGUAUUGCCAAUUGAAGCUUAAGCUCGCACAGCGACAGUCAUCUGAGACUGAGAGAUGUUUACAAUUUACUCAAGAAAUAUAGAGGAUUUUACCACGUGAAUCGCGUCAAUUGACAUUGUGGAUGUACUCGCUGACGGUGUGUAAAAGGUCUACGUAUUACCGUAUCUUCUGUGGUUAUAGAGGAAUUGUAGGUGACUGAACUGGGAGCGCCCGGGAAUUGAACCAACGACCCUGGAACAAGAGGUGAGUGCUGUAUCCACUCAACUGCUGCACUCUUUAUUAUGCAAUUAGUUCAAAGGGCCGCCACCAAGAUGGGUCGUCCUAAGAUUAGCAACACUCAGCUGCGC
rnacentral:misc_RNA from 1 species